rnacentral:rRNA from 1 species
UACACACCGCCCGUCAAGCCAUGGAAGCUGGGGGUACCCAAAACCGGUGUGCCAACCCUGACGCAAGUCAGGGAGGUAGCCGACUAAGGUAAAACCAGUGACUGGGGCU